CGGCCGCCGCCACCCCGCCCGCCCGCAAGUGCCGGUCCCCGGUCUCCCGGGAGCCGCCAACCUUUAACCAUUCUGUGAUUCUGUGAGCAAAAUCUGCUGCCCUGCCCUGCCCUGCCCUGCCUUUCUCCUCCCGCGGCUCCGGUGGGGAAGGCGGUUGAGAGGGCGAGAAGGGCUGGGGAGGCGGGGAAGGAGAGAAAAUGGCCGCCAGUGGUGGGGAGGGAGGGCGGCCCCUCAGCGCACCUGAGGGAGGGGGGCCGCGCGUGGAGGAGCGUGUGGGGCGAAAGACCAGUGGGCGGGAAGUAUAAGGAGCUUCACUCAGCAGAGGGAGGACAAGGUGCAGCUCUUAUCAGUGGAACUCACAAGGGCUGGAUCGUGCCUGGAGAGCGUGACCCUCCCAGAGCAGGAGAUAUCACUCAGGCCCAGGGCAGGCAGAGUCCCCAGCACACCCAGAGCUGCAGAUCAAGGUUUCCAUCAAUAGAGAAAAGGAUGGUGUAGAGAGCCCAGCCUAUCACGAUUCAGUGCAGCAGAGAGACAGGGUCAGUUAUUAAACUGUCGUCAGCCUGCAGGGUUUUCAGCAUUUGAGGGACCUUCCUGGUUCUACCAUUUCUUGAAAACCCAGUUCACAGAUGAGAAGUUUCAAGUACAGCUUGGCAAAUCCAGAGGGUGCUGGGGGAAGCAGCUGAUACAAUUCACAUGUUCACUCAUCUGCUGCAUAUGGAAUGUAAGGAAGAGGAGUCCAACAAAAGCCUGGAGAAUGGGAAGUGGCACCAUAAAACUGAUGGAUUUUGCCUACAGAUAUGUGGGUUGCCUGUGGAAGUGCAAGAACCAAGAGAUAUGGGGUCCCAAAGUCACAGAGAAUCCCAGUGCUCACUAUAAGAAAUAACUGUAUUUGUCACUCCACAAACAUGGUAAGAAAGAAUGCAAAUGAAGGCAGUAAUGGGGUUAUAGUUACAAGGUGAUAAAUUGCAUAGAAAAAACCACAGAACUACUUAAAACAACCAAAUCUUUUAAUUAGAAAGCAACAAACAUGCAAACAGCAGGUAUAGAAAUUUAUUUGAACCAACGUUUUUACUAUAAUGAAAGUUACUUUAAAACAUUGAUCCAAGCUCCCACAUUUGCAGGUUAAGGAAAAUAUUGCACUUUGCAUCUUCUAGCACCCCUCAUACAUGGCAAAACGUUUGAAAAACAUUUUUGCUUAUUUUAACUUGCACACUCUCCCCAAGUCAUGCACACAGUCAUUCAAAAAACAAAAGGUUAGGUUAUCCAAAAGCAAUACCUUAGAAUUGCACUAAAGCUCUGUAAGGAAAAAUAUAAUUAAUGUCUUAUACAAAUUCCACUGAUGUCUCGGUGCUCGCACACAACUGCCAGUUACUCUUCGUCUUCAUUUUCGUUCUCCUGACCAGAUCCUUCUGAUCUGUCACCUUCCAAUCGAUCUGUAAAACACAGAGACUUAGUAAAGAGAACUUGCAAAAUUGUCUUUUUCUGGUAACUAUAAAAUACUGCCUCCCUGGGCUGUUACAGAAUGGGCAGUGGCUGUGGGUUAUACGGUAGAAGAAAGUCUGUGUGGACUGACAAGCAGAGAGUGGGUAGGAAUGAUGCCACAAGAAAGGAGAAGAGGAGAAAAGCCCUAAAGGAUUUCCAGGCAUAAAAGGGAAAUUUGUGUACAGAAGGAAAAAGCUUGUAGCUGCUGACUGGCUGUCAGCACAGGCAAGAUGAAUGCAAGCGAAACAUUAAAAUGAGAUGGUGAGUACAAGGGACUGAAGUGCUGUUCUGGGGAACUGACACUAGAAUAGCUGCAGUUAGAAAUCUGAAUACUCCAGAAACUGGGGGAUCACUGUCUGUCACUGAAUGCAUCAGAAAAAGUACCUUUGGAUGUGCAUGUUUAGAAAAGGGCAAAUACAGAAACGUGCGAGGCAACACGACUGGAUCAACAUCAGUCCCUCAAACAACAUCCACUGUCAGGUUAAGAAACACUCCACUCAGCCAUAACACAGAGUUCUGCUGAAAUUGUUGUAGAAUCAAGUGUUGGGCAGUUCUUUUGGUGUUUUAUUCCAAAGAGACUGCCCAUAUUCAAUAUCUGCAGUCACCUUCACCUACAGGUCUGUCAGCAGCUCUGUCAGGAUGGAUAGCGUGGUGAAUAUCUAAAAAUACAUUUUGAUCUUUGUUUUGAGGUAAAAACAGCUACAAGAAUGUUGCAAGCCUCACACCAAGAAGCAAUACCUAAGCACUUCUAUUAAGAGAACCGUGAACAACCCUUGAAUCUUUUCACCAGCCCCAAGCAUAGCCACAGACAGCUGAAGGUCUUGAUGAUUCUCCAGUCCAUCUGCUAUUUCACAGACCAGUGUCAUGGGAGAGCUGUUCAGGAGUCUCUCACCUGCUCUUAUGUGAUUCAACGAAGCCAACAUUCGUAGCAUGAAAGAAGCUGGAACAGUAAUAGUGUUUCUGGUCUCUUCCAGCAUUAGUUCAUUACGGGUUAUAACCUGGAGGCAGGGAAGGACAAAAAAACAGCACCAGAAAUAAACACAAAAUUGUACUGCAUCAGUAUGGGUUUGUAGAUACAAAGCUCCUAUGCAAAAGCCAAAAUUACAAUAAGGGACCAAUAUUUUAAUAAUUACUAUUGAAUACAGUUACUUUAACUGUAUAUGGUGAGAAAAGCCAGACAGUGGACUCUGCCUACAGUGUCUGUCUGUCUAAAGAACAUUCUAGUAAGAUCAUCAUUCAUUGUCCACACGCACAGUAGAUAUCUGAGAAAAACUUCUGAAAUGAGUUCUUGCAUGAAGUAAAGCAGAGUGAUGAGAGAAAGUGCUGUUCCAGAUGGCAACUGUUGGAGAGAACAAGUUCCAGCACCAGCUCUGGCCAAGAAUGUGGGAAGGAAAAAGAGCUGAGGUUACCCUAAACUCCUACCUUCAUGCUGCUUGAAACUUUUGGAGAAAAUCCAAGGAACACAAGCAAUUUUCUAUCCCAGUUCUGGAACAUUCUUCAGCUCCAUAAUUCUUUCUAAACAGAUCUACAGCUUGCCUCUAAAUUACUUGAAAGAGCCAGUUCCUGCUGUCUUAGUUUAAAGGGAAAAAAAAUCCACUAAUGAAUACUUAUAGCUCUCUUGCCUCAUUCCUUCCUCAUGGUACUUCCUUACCAUCCUUCUUUUUUCCCCAUUGAGUUCUAAUCCCACACUGUUGCUGGUCUCUCAGCUUUUUGACCAUGUUCUUUCAUUUAUCACUAAGCACAAGAGUUUCUUUAGGUGGAGACAAGUUCUGCCUGUUAUUCAGUCCUUCCUCCCAGAUCAGCUGCUGUAAGACAGGAAAAUAAUGCAUUUCUUUUUCUCCUUGAGGCUCCUUCUCCAAGCCUGUUCCUCUUGUAAGGAACAAGCUCUUGCAAAUGUUUGCAGUGCCCUUCUCCCAGCCAAACCAAAUCACCUCUUCCCUGUCAUUCUCAGCUGUUCACCAGGCACUUUGCACAGCUGAUCACUCCCUAACAGAAGCAAGCUGAGAAGGCAGCAGGAAGCCAUUUUUUCCUCUUUCACCCCCUAUUUCUCCAGUGCAUCAUCAGUAACACCCCUGACAACCUCCUUCUGAUGCUUUUUCUCUAUUCAGAGAAAAUAUUCUCUAUUCUCUGCUGUCUUUUCCUAUUCACUGAGGUCACGGCCUCUCUCAGUUUCCCCAAACACAACACCUUCUACCUAGGUCUUCCCUUCCAUGGAAAAUUCAGUUUAGGUAUGUUCCACAUUUACUCUAGCUAAUCUUAACAUGCUGAAAACUAUUUUACUGCCACAAACAUCUCCUGUACUCUACAUAAGUUUUUCAAUACAGGGAUUAAAUUAAACUACAAAAAACAUGUCAAAUUACAAACCACACUGCAGUCGACUUUUCUGAAAGUUCUACAAUUUUUAGUAAAGAAAAAAAUAAUCAAAUCUUUAAAUGUUUCGUUAUUAUUAAAAAUCAAAUGACAGAAAUGACAGUACAUUAACUCCUUUUAGCAGACAUUUAUGUUUAGCAAUAUUUCUAAGCCCCAAAGGCUCCAAAGCACAUCACAUACUAAAGCUGUCACACAACAUUACAAAGAAGUGUCGCUUCACUCAGUGUUACUGCUGCUGCUAAAAGAAUGGGAAAGGUUCAAAACCCAUAAGUGGAUGGUUUGGGGUUUUUUUCAGGGAAUGUAGAAUUGUGACUAAGGGUUGUGGGUUUCUGUUUAAAAUAUGUAUAGCACUAAUAACAAUAUAUAUAUCAUCUAUAACAAUUAGAACCCCCCCCUCUACUAUAUCCCUGCUGCCCAAGAGAUUUCACA